rnacentral:rRNA from 1 species
GACGGAGGGUGCUAGCGUUGUUCGGAAUGACUGGGCGUAAAGGGUGCGUAGGCGGCGCGGUAAGUCGGGUGUGAAAUCUCGGAGCUUAACUCCGAAACUGCAUUCGAUACUGCCGUGCUUGAGGACUGGAGAGGAGACUGGAAUUUACGGUGUAGCGGUGAAAUGCGCAGAUAUCAGGAGGAACACCGGUGGCGAAGGCGGGUCUCUGGGCCGAUACUGACGCUGAGGAGCGAAAGCGUGGGGAGCGAACAGG